GACGAACGCUGGCGGCGUGCUUAACACAUGCAAGUCGAACGGAGUGGCGAACGGGUGAGUAACACGUGGGUGAUCUGCCUUGCACUUAGGGAUAAGCUUGGGAAACAGGGGCGAAUACCGGAUAGUGCAAGAUGAGCUCGCGGCCUAUCAGCUUGUUGGUGGGGUAAUGGCCUACCAAGGCGUCGACGGGUAGCCGGCCUGAGAGGGUGAACGGCCACAUUGUUACUACUCUACGGCCCAGCCUCCUACUGGCGGCAGCAGUGGGGAAUAUUGCACAAUUGGCGGAAGCCUGUUGCAGCGGCGCCGCGUGGGGUAUGAAGGCCUUCGGGUUGUAAACUCCUUUCGCCAGGGACGCGGUACCUGUAUAAGAAGCACCGGCUAACUACGUGCCAGCAGCCGCGGUAAUUC
rnacentral:rRNA from 1 species